CAGCACCUCAAGUGGUCAGGAUGAUUAUUGGGCCUAAAGCAUCCGUAGCCUGCUUUGUCAGUUUUCGGUUAAAUCUGUACGCUCAACGUACAGGCUGCCGGGAAUACUGCAGCGCUAGGGAGUGGGAGAGGUAGACGGUACUCGGUAGGAAGGGGUAAAAUCCUUUGAUCUAUUGAUGACCACCUGUGGCGAAGGCGGUCUACCAGAACACGUCCGACGGUGAGGGAUGAAAGCUGGGGGAGCAAACCGGAUUAGAUACCCCAGUAGUCC
rnacentral:rRNA from 1 species